GCACUGCCGAGGAGUCCCACAAUAGGACGAAACGGCCGUCCACUGC
rnacentral:hammerhead_ribozyme from 1 species